rnacentral:rRNA from 1 species
AGCCCGCUCAGAACUCAAAGGAAGUUGACGGGGGCUCAACACAAGACGGUGGAGCAUGUUGUUUAAUUCGAAGCAACGCGCAGAACCUUACCUGGGCUUGACAUGUUAGUGGUAGGAGCCUGAAAGGGUAACGACCUCGAAAGAGGGAGCUAGCACAGGUGUUGCAUGGCUGUCGUCAGGCUCGUGUCGUGAGAUGUCGGGUUAAGUCCCAUACCGAGCGAAACCCUUGUCUUCAGUUGCCAGCGGGUAAAGCCGGGGACUCUGGAGAGACUGCCGGUGUUAAACCGGAGGAAGGUGGGGAUGACGUCAAGUCCUCAUGGCCCUUACGCCCAGGGCUACAAACGUGCCACAAUGGCCGGUACAGAGGGACGCGAAGCCGCGAGGUCAAGCAAAUCCCAAAAAGCCGGUCUCAGUUCGGAUUGAGGGCUGCAACUCGCCCUCAUGAAGCUGGAAUCGCUAGUAAUCGGGGAUCAGCUACGCCCCGGCGAAUAUGUUCCUGAGCCUU